CAUUGGAUGGGCCUGAACUGGGAGCGGACUCUCACAUGCAUUUGAGGACCAAUCACAAGAUAACUAGGAGGAAUGGAAAAAUGAAUGGGAGUGUACAAAGCUCCCUUUUUAGGCCAGCUUAGUUGCCUGCAGCUGUGACCUGGACACUUCUAUUCACUAAUGCUCUCUGGCAACGAGAUAUACUGAUAAAUACACACUAAUCACACCCUGGAAGAAAAUAAAGGGGGUGUAAAGGAACCAUGGAUUUAAACCAUCAUCUUGAGUCAUCAUCAAAGGACAGGACAUGGGAAACAAUUAAGGGAGAUUCAAUCAUCCUCGUCUCCUGAGCCUGAUAUACAUUAACAUUGAAGGAGGGAAGAAGGAGGGAAGGCCCGAACAGCAAAGCAUGUUUUAGCAGUCCCUUGCAUUUUGUGAGAACAUUCGUUGGAACUUUUGUUUCCAUUCUGUGUAUUGGUAAAUGUUGCAUGGAACCGACAGUCACAAUAAUAAGAACAGUUCUGCUGCAUGUACAAGCCAUAAGCUGAUAUGUAAGAAGUCACUGAAAACCUUAUAUUUUUCAACACCACACAUACUCAUAAAACAGAAAUAUGAUAGAGAAGGCUAAAUAGCAGUAUUUCAGCAAAGGAAUCUCUCAAAGGGAGCAGCAGUCACAUUGGGAGGCCAAUUUGAGCUUCUAACUUAGGCUGAAACAUCCAGCUGUGCUAAGUAAGAACUAAGUUUUUUCUGUUUUAUUGAGAUAGGGUCCCAUUCCAUCGCCCAGGCUGGAGUGCAGUGGUGCGAUCACGGCUC